rnacentral:rRNA from 1 species
UUGACCUCGGAUCAGGUAGGGAUACCCGCUGAACUUAAGCAUAUCAAAGAC